rnacentral:rRNA from 1 species
UACGGAGGGAGCUAGCGUUGUUCGGAAAUACUGGGCGUAAAGCGCACGUAGGCGGCUUUGCAAGUCCGAUGUGAAAUCCCUCGGCUUAACCAAGGAAGUGCAUCGGAAACUGCAGAGCUUGAGUACUUAAGAGGAUCGCGGAAUUCCCGGUGUAGAGGUGAAAUUCGUAGAUAUCGGGAGGAACACCAGUGGCGAAGGCGGCGAUCUGGGAAGAUACUGACGCUGAGGCACGAAAGCGUGGGGAGCAAACAGG